ACUAUGGAGAGUACAAGGAACUAUGAGUAGAUACUAUGUAUUGAAAGUAUGCUCGUUGAAGUAGUAA
ncrna:Fusobacterium nucleatum CTI-6 RAGATH-18 RNA